GCCACCGCGGUUAUACGAAAGACCCAAACUGAUAGAUGCCGGCGUAAAGAGUGGUUAAGUAUCUUGAUAGAACUAAAGCCGAACGCCCUCAAGACCGUCAUACGUUUCCGAAGGUAUGAAGCCCAACUACGAAAGUAACUUUAACUGUAUCCGACUCCACGAAAGCUGUGAAACAAACUGGGAUUAGAUACCCCACUAUG
rnacentral:rRNA from 1 species